rnacentral:rRNA from 1 species
GUCUAGGGCGCAAGCUGAACAUCCAUGCCGCGUGAAGGAAGAAGGUUCUAUGGAUUGUAAACUUCUUUUAUUUAGGAAUAAACCUCCGACGUGUCGGGAGCUGAAGGUACUAAAUGAAUAAGCACCGGCUAACUCCGUGCCAGCAGCCGCGGUAAUACGGAGGGUGCAAGCGUUAUCCGGAAUCAUUGGGUUUAAAGGGUCCGCAGGCGGAUUUAUAAGUCAGUGGUGAAAUCCUGCAGCUCAACUGCAGAACUGCCAUUGAUACUGUAAGUCUUGAAUUUGAUCGGAGUGGGCGGAAUGUGUAGUGUAGCGGUGAAAUGCAUAGAUAUUACACAGAACACCGAUAGCGAAGGCAGCUCACUAGGUUAUAAUUGACGCUCAUGGACGAAAGCGUGAGGAUCAAACAGGAUUAGAUACCCUGGUAGUCCACGCCGUAAACGAUGAUUACUCGUUCUUGAUAGCAAUAUCAGGGACCAAGCGAAAGUGAUAAGUAAUCCACCUGGGGAGUACGAUCGCAAGGUUGAAACUCAAAGGAAUUGACGGGGGCCCCGCACAAGCGGUGGAGCAUGUGGUUUAAUUCGAUGAUACGCGAGGAACCUUUUCCAGGGCUGUAAUGCCGAUUGCUUAUUUGGAAACGAUUAGUCUUCGGACGUUG